rnacentral:lncRNA from 10 species
AGCAACCAUCAGGCCUCCCAGAUUGUAUCAAGGAAUUGAAACUUAGCAGAUCAUGGCUUUUGGACAAUGAGAUGCCAUACGCCUCAUCAAUCACUAUUUCCUAAUCAUCCACCUGUUUCCUGUUGACCAACUUCUCUUCUUUACCUCUCCCUGCUUCCUAUUUUCCCACACAUAGUUACAUUUUUUCCCUGCUAUAUAAACCCCUAAUUUUAGUAAAUCAGGGAGAUGGUUUGAGACUGAUCUCCCAUUGCCUCACCUGCAACACCUGAUGAAAGCCUUCUUUCCUGGCAAUACUCAUCAUCUCAGUGAUUGGCUUUCUGUGUAGUGAGCAGCAGAACCUAGACUGGACCCCUGGUGUUUUGUAAGAAAGAAUGAGAUAAUACUGCGAUGAAUAUUUUGUGACGUAUUUCCAUAUCCACAUAUAUGACAGCUUCUCUAGGUUGUGUGUCUCAGAAGAGAAAUAAUGUAUCAUAGAUUUUGGAAGAAGCACGAAAAUGAUUUACUGAUUUAGGAACUGGGUGGAGUAGACCACAAAAAGACAAAUCAAAAACAUCUGGAAUGAACUAGUUGAGAGAGAAAAAGAGAGAGCAAGAAAAAAAGCAGGAGCCGGCAAGAGGGAGCCUCAGCCAACACUACAUCAGAGGCACAUUGUGGAUGGAGGAAAUGAGUUUAGUCAAGCCAGCUGUGACUUCAAAGGGGCUGCUCUCCCAGAGAACAGUGAGAAAGGGUUCCCCCUUCAGUGAAGACUGCAAAGUUCAGCCAGCGCCAACCCAAAGGGAAUGGACUCCAGGAAGGGGCAAAUUACAUUCAACAUACAAGAAAGAAUAUUUUCCUUCAUGAAGUGGCUGUGACAGUCUGAAGAGGAAGGAAAAUGACAAAAAAGAAAGAAAACUACACAUUUCUUUCAAAUUACUUACUUCACACAAAUUUACUGAGGAACAAUAGGGUGGACCCUGCAUAUUCGAAGACAAGAUCGUCUGUGUUCCAGUUCAAAAGAAGAAGCUAGACACAUAAACUGAAGAUUAUGGUAUUGAGUGAUAAGCCUUGGAGCAGGAAUCCCAAAGUGUGAUCACAUGACCAGCAGCAGCAACAUCACCUGGGAACUUGUUAGAAAUGCAAAUUUGCAGGCCCUAAUCCAAAUCUACUGAAUAAGAAAGUUGAGGUUGAUUUAACAAGCCCUUCAAGUGAUUCAAUGCUUGCUAAAACUGGAGAACCACCUUGAUAGUGAAGGGACAAAAGGACUUUUGUGCAGAGAGCUAACACAUCUGAACUAACCUUGAGAUCCUCUGCCAUCUAUAAAUCACUUCUCAAUCUCUUCCCGAUAAGAUUCUAAAUAGGUGGCUCUCUGGCAAUUCAAGGGAUGAUACACGCGUGUGUGUCUUCUCUCUUUAUGUAAGUUAUAAGAUCUGAAUGACAGAGGCACAUUCUUCUUUUAUGUUUUCUUUCCUUUCUCCUCCUAUUUUUAGGGCCAGUACGUGGAAAAUGCGGAAAUUGGAACUUACUAUAAGUAACUAAUUCAGAAAUCAGGCUGGCAGAAGUGUUAUACAUUCACUGGAAGAAAUUGGUGAAUAUAUGGAAAACAUAAAUGUUAUGUAUCCUGGAACUUAAAAUAAAAAUUAAUAAUAAAAAAUGUUAUCUCUCCCAAGCACUCAUUUGAUGCUUGAAUCCUCUCUAUGACAUCCUUACCAAGGAUUUGUUCUUCUUAUGCUUGGGUACUUCAACUGAUGAGAAUCUCACUAGCUCAGGAUGCAGUUUGCUUUCUUUUAGAUAGCUCUGUUAGAGCUGCCUUCUUCCAGGGCUGAACACUUCCAUAAUUUAAAUUCCAUUUAUUAGUUUUAGUCCUGCCCCUUGGGAACUCGUAGCAAAGAUACUUACAUAUUAAUGUGACAUUUUUCAGGUACUUGAGGUUAGUAAUUAUGUAGCAUAUGACAUAGAUUAAACUCAUAGACUCUGGAAACAAACUACUUGCCUUCCCUUCAAAUUCUUAUUCUGCCACUUACUUACUAUGUGACCUCCAGAGAGUUAUUUACUAUCUCUGUAACUUUAUUUCUUUAUCUAUAUAAAAAGAUAUAAUAAUAGCAGUACAUCAAAGGGCUUUUAUAAGGAGUCCAUGAAUUAAUAUAUGUAGAUGUGCCUGGAACACGGUAAGUGCUCUAAAAGUUUUCACUAUUACUAAUCAUCAUCAUUAUUAUACAGAUCUUGUCAGAUAUCGGACCUAGGCCAUCUUUCUAAGUCUUUACUCAUUCAUUAAGUGAGCUCAUUCACUCCCAUGGCUUCAAUCACCAUCUAUAUGAUUAUGAAAAAUCUAUUUUCCUCCUGAGCCAAGAGCUAAAUGUAAGUGACCAGUUAUGGAUACAGGAAUUGCUCUGGCCACCAUAAUUUGGGUGGAAAUGGUGCAUACCACUUCCAGUUCUUGCCCCUUAAAAUACCAUGAGAAAUCUUGCACUCCUUUCUCCUAGUUCAUCAGCUAACUGAAUGCAGAGAAACCAGUGGAGGACUCCAAGGAAAUUCCAAAGAGUGGUUGAACCACGGGUUGGAAGAAGUCUAGAUCCCUGAGUCAAUGUUUGGAGAGGAGCUGCCGAGGAGAGCCACCAGAGAGGGACACAUGAGCAAGAAAUAAACAUUUCUUCUGUUAAAACAUUGAGAUUUUAUAGCCCAUCAUGACUAAUCCAAUGAGACCCUAGUGUAGAUCUUUUGCUUAGUCUUCGCUUCUGAGAUCUAGAACUAUAUAUUUCAUUUGCUAAUCACCAUUUCUACAUGAACCCUCAAAUAGGGUAAUAGGUAAACUCAGAGUUUCUAAGAUUAGACUGUGUUGAAAUCUUAGUCCUUCCAGGUACAGCUAUAUGACUCAAUGUGUGUGUGGGGGCGGGGGCAGGGGGGUUAAAUAAACUAUUCAUAACUGUAUCUACUUAAAAGUAAUAAGAAAAUGAAAUGAGCAUAUACAUAUAUAUAAAACAGUUAUCGGCACAUAGUAAAUGCUCAGUAAUUGUCAGGUAAUACAGUUAUUAUGACCAUCCCACUCCAAAUUUGCUCUUUCCCCAGGUUUUUUAUGUUGAUAAAUGGUACCACCAUCCAAUAGUUGUUAAAAUUAGAAAUUUGCAACUUUAUCUUGGAUCACUUUUUUUAUCCUCCCACAUGGAUAAAGUCAAUCAAUAACUGAUUGAUUACACUCCUUCAGUAUUUUUCAAAUCCAUUUGCUUAACUCUCUCCUCUUCUAUUCUACACUUUUCAUCCUAGUUAAAGCCACCAGCCUAUGUAACUUUAUUAUAUUUGCGUCCUUACUAGUCUUUUCAAAUCCAUCCUUGCACCCUCCCAAUUCAUGCUUUAUGUGGAAAUGUAGGCAUUUUUUAAAAAAUUCAAAUCAAAUCUUGCUGCUCAAAAUUUUAAAUGCAUCAACACCGAUUGCUCUUUGGUGCCACCACAUUCCUGACCCAUUACUUCAGCACCCCCUCAAACCCACCACAGGACUUUAUUUCUACAAUUCAGCCACACUGGACUUUUGUCGGUGUCAGAAAAGUGCCAUAGAUUGUCCCAUCUUUGAUGUUAUCAUGUGUUGGUUACUUUUGCUUAGAAUAAACUUUCUCCCCAUCCCAGUUUACCUAAUUAAUUCCUGACCACUCUUUACAUUUCUGCUUAAAUGCUAUACUCUCCAGAAAGCCCUCUUAGCAAUCUCUGCCCACACUUCUUAAAGCUAUGCCUACAUAGCCCCCACCUUAUUUCUUCAUUAAACUCUUUGCACUUGCCAUUAUUUGUAUAAUUAUGUUUUCCCAGCUAACCAGGAGACUUUGUGAGGGCAGAGACCUCAUAUGUAUGGCUCACUGCCUGGUAUAGACAGUAUAUUGGCUUAUACGAAGGAGGAGUUUAUUAAAUACAGUAAAUUUUUUUAAGUGUGAAUAUGAGUCUGUUAAAUGACUGUGUGUAUAUGUACCCAAUGUAAAGUUUUAUUUGGUUCGGUCUAGAAAAAUGUCCUACAGCCAAUUCAUGUACCUAAUUAAAUUCACUUACAAAUUUAGGAAACUCAGCACCUGCCCUAUUUGAGUUUAAAACUAGUUGAUUUGAUAGACAUAUAAAAUAAAAACUAUACUAUAGUAUCAUCCAUGCUGUCAUAAUAGAAUUAUCUCAAAACCUCCAUUGAUGUACUAUUUGGG